GGGAUCGGGAGGUCACUCCAAACCCCUGU
rnacentral:rRNA from 1 species